GGUGUCACGGGGUUUAGUGAUUCAUUACCAGCGAUUAAAGUGGUGUACAUUAUAUAUACAGUAUAGAUUCGGCAUCUAGAGAGCUGAUUGAGACAGAGCCCUUGAGUUGGUGUUGGGACUGAGCACAGGUGUUAAGGCUAUGGUAUCUGAUUGGUGUCCAUAGAUAGUGGUAACUUGACCGUAUAUAGUAUAACAGUACAGUACAGUGUUACCCUUUACUUAAUGCAUAAUGAUGUUACUUUUGCAGAUAGAGUAUUUAUACAGAAAAAAAGGUUAAGGUUUAACUCUAACAAACUGCUAGCGUAAAAAUAACAGGAUCGCUUAUAGAGUGUUUGAAUGAUUUAGAAACUCUACUGACAAAAAUCUUUGACUUAUUUUCAGUGCUCGAGGAUAGUUCAGGUAUGUGAACGACUAUUUACUUGUAACAUAAUUAUUCAUGACAUGAACUGAAUUUCAGUAAUAUGGAAAAAAAUCUGCAUAUUCUAUUAUUGUACAGUAUGAAAACAAUAUAAAUGUAAAAAUGUGUGCAUAUAAAUUGAGGACAAACUAAGACAGUAACAGAGUGGCAUUUACUUUCAAGCUUAAACCACUGCAUAGAAGAAGAGGAUGUGGUGGGAAUCACACCGAAAAAAAAAAAGAAAAAAGGUUGAGAUAAGGAAAUGAAGUUCCUCUUAGAAAUGAUGCUGUCUUUCUCAGCUCUGAUGAAGAAGGAAGCAAGAAUAAUUUAGGAAGUAUUAUUUAACCACUGAGAGGAAAGUAAGUUGUUAUAAACGUUUCAAUAAAGGCAUUUGUUUUGUUUGUCAUCUAUCUUUAUACGUACUCCAGAGUAUAAAUACGUCAAUGAAUUGCAGUAUGAAUUGUAGCAUAUGAGAAAACGGCCAUCUUAUAUUGUGCAUGCCUGUUUGUGCAUGUGUGUACAUAAAUUGAUGGAUAUUUAAUUUUUUUUAUUUAAGGUAACAUUAUUAAAAUACUUAUACUUACUUAUAUAAUCAAAUUAUGCCACUAUAUGGUGCAGAGUCGUUAUGGCAUUAUGUGUAAAUAUUAAGGUUUUAUUUGCCAUAAUUUCUCUUUUUUGUUUUGUUUUAAAAAUACAGCAUAUUAGAUGCCAACUAAAGUCUUUGAGACAAAAAUGACCUCAUUAUUAGCUUUCAGACAUCAAAAUGUAAAUGCUAAUGCUGUAUCUCCUUAAAGGUCACAAAAUUACACUAUUGAUUAUUUUUACAUGACUAAAACCUCAAUGUUAUCUGGGUGUGUUGUGUUUUUUUUUUCUUUAUAUAUCCACUAUAGUAUCCUCUCAUUCUAACACAUCCCUCUUCAAUAGCAUCUCACUGCAUGAUUAUUUUGUAACUUAUUGACUUUUCCUCUGAAGUAAUAUUUCAUUUAAUGAGAAAAUCCUUCUGGACCUCUCAUCAACAAGCCUACAGAACUGACACACAGGAUGUUCUAGGGUUUUUAUCCCCCAUCUAUCCAUACUGUAUUUCUGAAAUACUCAAACCAAACUGUGUGACACUGACAACCACUUUUAUUAAGAUUGUACAUCCGGAUAUAUAUAACUAGCAGUAGCAUUUUCAAAUAAGAAAAUCGCUGUAUCUGAGACGUUUCUCUCAAAGCAAACGUUAAAUAAAAUUUGAUAUGUCAUAGGUUUUUUGUUUUCAGGUUAUGUCCAAUUAUCUCCCAGAUGAAUAACAUCAGCACAAACUAGUGUUAAUUAAAAUGAUUUUGUCUCAGUUUCUUUGGGGAUUAAAUGGUCCAUCCUAUUAUUUAUUCAUCCAUCCAUAAUUUCAACCAUUUAUCCAUUCAAUUAUCUAUUCAAUUAUCCAUCCAUCCAUCCAUCCAUCCAAAAUUGAUGUGUUAACUACUGUAGCAUUGUGUUGCUGCUAUGUGUACGGCUGACUGCUUACAAUGAACAGAAGUACAUAAUAACAUGUACACCUAUACCUAAUAAUGUGGCCAGUGAGUAUAUGUGUUGAGUGUCAGCAGGCAUUCAGAAGCUGUAGUUGAGGUUGGAUAUGAUGUCAGAUUUGAUCAUUUAAUUUACAAAUGCUCUCUGUGCCUCUUUUUUUAGCACCUUUUCUUGUACAAAUAGUUGUUUUUCAGAACUAUUAUAAAUAUUAUAUAAUA